GAUGAACGCUAGCGGCAGGCGUAACACAUGCAAGUCGAGGGGCAGCGCGGGAUAGCAAUAUCCUGGCGGCGACCGGCGGAAGGGUGCGUAACGCGUGAGCGACAUGCCCGUUGCCCGGGGACAACCGGUGGAAACGCCGACUAAUCCCCGAUGGGAUACGAUGCUUCAUGGCAUUGUAUUGAAAGUUACGGCGGCGACGGAUUGGCUCGCGUCCGAUUAGCUGGUUGGCGGGGUAACGGCCCACCAAGGCUGCGAUCGGUAGGGGUUCUGAGAGGAAGGCCCCCCACAAUGGGACUGAGACACGGCCCAUACUCCUACGGGAGGCAGCAGUGAGGAAUAUUGGUCAAUGGGCGGAAGCCUGAACCAGCCAUGCCGCGUGCGGGAAGGAGGCCCUAUGGGCUGUGAACCGCUUUUGCCUGGGGGCAAUAAGGGCGUCGCGCACGUCCGAUGAGAGUACCAGGCGAAUAAGCAUCGGCUAACUCCGUG
rnacentral:rRNA from 1 species